rnacentral:tRNA from 1 species
CCAGACAGAUGGGCCUCGAUCCCAUAAAUCUUUUAAUUAACAG